UGGGGUUGUGGCUCAGUGGUAUAGCGCUUGCCUAGCAGGCAUGAGGCACUGGGUUUGAUCCUCAGCACCACAA
rnacentral:tRNA from 1 species